rnacentral:rRNA from 1 species
ACCUGCCCACUGAAAAUUUUAAAUGGCUGCAGUAAUUUGACUGUACAAAGGUAGCAUAAUCAUUAGUUUUUUAAUUAAAAGCUUGUAUGAAAGGUUGGACGAAGUAAAAUCUGUCUCUUUUUAAUAUAAUUAGAAUUUAAUUUUUAAGUAAAAAAGCUUAAAUUUUUAUAAAAGACGAGAAGACCCUAUAGAGUUUAAUAAUUUUAAUAAAAUAUUUAAUCAAGAUUUAUUAAUUUUAUUUAAUUAAAAUUAUUUUAUUGGGGUAAUAAAAAGAUUAAAAAAAUUCUUUUUUUUUAAUACAUUAAUUUAUGAAUAUAUGAUCCAUUUGUAGUGAUUAAAAGAUUAAAUUACCUUAGGGAUAACAGCGUAAUUUUUUUAAAGAGUUCUUAUCGAUAAAAAAGUUUGCGACCUCGAUGUUGGAUUAAAGAUUAAUUUAGGUGUAGAAGUUUAAAUUUUUGGUCUGUUCGACCAUUAAAUCUUUACAUGAUCUGAGUUCAAACCGGUGUAAGCCAGGUUGGUUUCUAUCUUUAUUAAUUUUUUAUAUUUUAGUACGAAAGGACCAAAUAUAAAAUAUAUAAAUAUUUUUAUUUUGAAUAUUAUU